rnacentral:rRNA from 1 species
UACGGAGGGCGCAAGCGUUGUUCGGAAUUACUGGGCGUAAAGCGCGUGUAGGCGGCCAGGUAAGGCGGAUGUGAAAGCCCGGGGCCCAACCCCGGAACUGCACCCGAUACUGCCUGGCUGGAGUCCCAGAGAGGAUGGCGGAAUUUCCGGUGUAGAGGUGAAAUUCGUAGAUAUCGGAAGGAACACCAGUGGCGAAGGCGGCCGUCUGGACGGUGACUGACGCUGAGACGCGAAAGCGUGGGGAGCAAACAGG